rnacentral:rRNA from 1 species
CCUACGUGAGGCAGCAGUGGGGAAUAUUGCACAAUGGGGGAAACCCUGAUGCCGCGACGCCGCGUGAGUGAAGAAGUAAUUCGUUAUGUAAAGCUCUAUCAGCAGGGAAGAAAAUGACGGUACCUGAGUAAGAAGCCCCGGCUAACUACGUGCCAGCAGCCGCGGUAAUACGUAGGGGGCAAGCGUUAUCCGGAUUUACUGGGUGUAAAGGGAGCGUAGACGGCAGGGCAAGUCUGGAGUGAAAGGCGGGGGCUCAACCCCCGGACUGCUCUGGAAACUGUAUGGCUGGAGUGCAGGAGAGGUAAGUGGAAUUCCGAGUGUAGCGGUGAAAUGCGUAGAUAUUAGGAGGAACACCAGUGGCGAAGGCGGCUUACUGGACUGUAACUGACGUUGAGGCUCGAAAGCGUGGGGAGCAAACAGGAUUAGAUACCCUAGUAGUC